rnacentral:lncRNA from 1 species
UCCCACUGCCCUGGAGGGGUAGAACUCAGGGAGGGCAGGACCCAUAGGGAGGGGGAGCCAAAGGGAGGGUCAUUUCUGCUCAGGUCUCGCCAGCCCAUCACCCAGGGGACGCAGCAGCCUGAGAGUCCAGAGGAGGCUCCUGCCGAGGUGACUGUCAACUGGCCAGAGGUAGAGGAGGCCCUGGUGCGCCUGCAGCUCUGGGCGAAUGUGGACGUGCUGCUGGUGGCCUCCUGGCAGGAGCUGAGUCAGCACGUGUGCGCCGUCACCAAAGCCCUCGCCCAGCGCCCCUUCAAGCAGUCCCAGGAGUCGCAGGCCUUUAACUUCUGCACAGCAGGGCGCUGGGCAGCGGGCAAGCCAUUGACGGGAGACAAUGGCGCAGGGCUACGGAGGGCCUGGUGGAGGCAGAUCAGGCAGUUUAACCGGGUCAGCCCAGCCGUGGCCGACGCUGUUGUCACUGCCUUCCCCUCCCCCCGCCUCCUGCAGCAGGCACUCGCGGCCUGCAGCUCGGAGCAGGAGCGCAGGGGUAUCCUGGCGGACCUCCCCGUGAAGGCCAAUGACGGCCGGCGGCCCCGCAGGGUGGGGCCCGACCUCUCCCGCCGAGUGUACCUCUUUCUGACCACCACCAACCCCGACCUCCUGCUGGACCUGGGCUCCUGACCACGGCUUCGGGACCCAGCGGAGGCCUCCUGCCUGCCAGCGGGACAGCACGUGGCCCCAGGGAUUGACCAGACACCUUUGGCCCAACAAGUACUGUCACCCUGGAGUGGGCUCCCAGCCUCUGAUCUCAGGGGAAGGGCAAGGGGUGGCAGGGAACAUUUUUGGAUAACAGAGCUGAACAGAACAGGAAGUUCUUUC